AGACGCUUAGCGGCGGCGCUUCCAGAACGCUGCGCUCGGGAGAGCCUCGGGGCCGGAGUCGCGUGGGCGCUGGGGGCGGGGCGGGCGCCCACUGCCUGAGCCGGAUGGCAGAGCCGUCUCUCCGCCAGCUCCCAGCGCUGGCUCGCGUCCCUGGGUUCCGAGCCCAGCGACGCGCAAGCUCCGUGGCCGCCAGCGCCGGCCCUGCCCCCUCGCUGCUGACCUCCGCCGCUUCACGCCGCGGACUCAGCUCCCGGGCUUUGCGGUCGCUGCCGGUGGGAUGGGGAGGGCCGCGAACCUCUGUCCUCUCAGGCAUUCACCGCGUGGCUGGGAGGGCGCCAGGAGGCCGAGGCCGGGGCUGCCAUGCGCUCCCGGUGCCUCACCCCGCAGGUCGGUCCGCCUCGUGGGCUGUGGGGCAGACGACCGGGAAGCCCCGAGAUCUCCAGAUCCUCGAUCGGGACCGAAAAGGCCCUGAACUUGUGCAGUGACUUGCCAUUGAGUCCGGGAGGUUCUGGAGACCUGGGUGACGGAAGAACGCCCAAGGCCGACUGCUGCCCUCAGUUAUCGGGGUGAGGUUUCCACCUGAGGCCGGCGCCCAGGGCAAACAGGAAAUGCGAGUUUUAGGAGAUUCUCCUACCGGAAUGUCACCUCCCUUCCCCGCCAGAAACGAACCGCCCUCUCCGCCAGUAAUUGAAAACCGAAGGGCAGCCCUUAGCGAAUGAAAACUCCAGAAACCAGGAGGGUCAGGGAGGGUCAUCAUCUGAAUAGAAUGACUCUUGUGGCUCUUGGGGUUUCCUGAAUCAGUCAUUUUAGGAACUGAAAAGGCCUUACGAGGAUCAAGUGGUCAUUAGCUUCUCUUUCUUCCCUCCCUCCCUCCCUCCCUUCCUUCCUCCUUCCUUCCUUCCUUCCUUCCUUCCUUCCUUCCUUCCUUCCUACCUUCUUCCUCUCUUUUCUACUCUUUUUUCUUUUUGAGACUGCAACCUCGAACUCCCUGGGCUUGGGUGAUCCUCCCGCCUCAGCCUCCCGAGUACUUGGAAUUACAGGCGCGCGCCACCAUGCCCGGCUAAUUUAGGUUUUUACUUUUUUAUCUUUUUUGAGACGGAGCCUCGCUCUGUCGCCCGGGCUGGAGUGCAGUAGCCUGAUCUCAGCUCACUGCAAUCUCAAAACUCCCAGGCUCGAGCGAUCCUCCUGCCGCAGCCUUCCCAGUAGCUGGGACUACAGGUGUGCAUCAUUACACCUGGCUAAUUUUUUAUUUGAAAGAAUUUUUGCUAACGCCGUGCGCGGUGGCUCAAGCCUGUAAUCUCAGCGCUUUGAGACGCUGAGGCGGGCGGAUCACAAAGUCAGGAGUUCCAGACCAGCCUGGGCAAUAUGGUGAAACCCUCUACUAAAAAUACAAAAAUUAGCCGGCGUGGUGGCGGGCGCCUGUAGUCCCAGCUACUCGGGAGGCUGAGGCAGGAGGAUUGCUUGAAGCUGGGAGGCAGAGGUUGCAGUGAGCCGAGAUCAAGCCACUGCACUCCAGCCUGCCUGACAAGGCCAGACUCUGUCUUAAACACAAAAACGAACAAAAAAAAGUUUACCGGGCGCUGUGGCUUACGCCUGUAAUCCCAGUACUUAGGGAGGCGAAGGCAGGUGGAUCACUUGAGAUUGGGAGUUCGAGACCAGUCUGACCAACAUGGUAAAACCCGUCUACUAAAAAUACAAAAUUAGCCGGGUGUGGAGGCACAGGCCUGUGAUUCCAGCUACUCAGGAGGCUGAGGCAGGAGGAUCGCUUGAACCCAGGAGGUGGAGGUUGCAGUGAGCCCAGAUCGUGCUACUACACUCCAGCUUGGGCAACAAGAGUGAAACUCCGUCUCAAAAAUAAAAUAAAAUAAAUUGGGCUUCUCGCUCUGUCGCCAGGCUGGUCUCAAACGUCUUAUCUCAAGCGAUUCUCCCGCUGCAGCCUCUGUGCUGGGAUUACAGGUAGGAGCAACCGCACCCUGCCUGGCCUCUCUUUGAAACCUGCCCAGUGACAGGGAUCUCAAUGCAGGGCAUUGCAUGUCUUCUGACAGGAUGCUGGUUUAGGUCACUCCCUCUGCCCUGCAAGCCAGCUGUGUCCCCAGCAUUUCCCAGGGCAGAGAUAGAUCACUCCCUGUGAGAGUGUUUUGGUGUCAGUGUGGAACGGCUUCCCUGUUUGGCCCCCUGGGUAUACUGGAACCUGGGAAGGGACCUCUCCAGCUAACCCAGGGCUGGGCAGGGAGUUACUGAAAGGAAAAAGGAAUUUAUUUUUAAUUUCCUGGGUUUUCUUGGCUGUUGCUUUGGAGUGGAGAUCAUUUAGACAUCUGGUACCCUGAUGGCCUGAGAAGAGAAGGAAAGUCCUUGGAAAGGAGUUAGGUGACUUCUGGGUAAGAAUGAGCUGAUACAAUGGUGGAGAGUGGGGAGAGCUGCUUAGUGGCCAACCUGGCCAUCAUUGCCGUAUUCACUAGGGAGCUUUUAUUCUCAUCUGUGUCCUCCUCCUGUAACUUAACACCUAGAAGUGGCAGGGAAUUGGAUCAUGAAAGAGCCAUAUAGUCCAGCCUACUCAUUUGUGUGUGUGUAUGUGUGUCUAUAUAUAUGUCUAUAUUGGUCUAUAUAUAUAGGUCUAUAUUGGUCUA
rnacentral:lncRNA from 1 species